AGGAAUGUUCACAGUCCAAGAUGAAUAAGAUAGCUGUUUUAGCUGUUUUAGUACUACAUCGUGUAUUUACUCCUCAGCUGUUUUAGCAUGAAUAGCUAUCUUAUUCAUCUUGGACUGGGAACAUUCC
rfam:Gossypium hirsutum cultivar TM-1 chromosome 22, whole genome shotgun sequence